UGGCAACAAGUCUAAAAACUUACCAACACUACCACAAUUUCCCAAGUCUACAUGGACAUUGACAAUGGUAGCAUUGGAUAUCUAGAAAAGGAUUUCUCUUCCCAAUGGAAAGGGAUCGGCUAUAGUCAACUCGGUUGACCAAAUAGUAAAGAGAAAGGCAAAUUCUGAGAUAGUCUCAUGUGCCAUUACCAAAGGGUCCAUGUGUUUUGUUGCCAAAGGAAGGGGCAUUGGUUGCGAAGCUGCCCUAUUCACCUGAAAGGUCAUAAGGUUGAUCAAGUCAAGAGGUUUGACUCUACUUCGGGUAAAGUCCACUGUCUAACUCUAUUAAGUUCCUAUUUGGAGAUUCUUAUUACAUAAUGUGAAUGGGUCACAUGCUGAUGUUUUUAAGAAUCAAAGAAAAGAUAGGAAGCUUAAAGUAAGUAUAUGUUGAUUCUGAUUGCGAAGGUGGGUUUCGAUCGCAUGGUUCGGUAAUCAGAAUUUUGAGCUGUUGCUUAAGAGUUAUAAUAUAUUGCUUAUGAAUAGAUAACAACAAGGUUUUCAUGUGGAUUGUAAGGAUAAGUUUUUCCGCAAAGUUUUAAAAAAAAAAAAAAAAAGGGUUUUAAUUUUAUUUAUUUUAAAAAUAUCCUUACAAUGGCAUCUGUGGAAAAUUGUUGCUUAUAUGUUUCCAGUAAUAGCAAUAUUGGAAAGUGGAUUUGAUUCUUUCAUUUGUGGUAGUGUCUGAAUUUACCAAAUGAAGAAAGUUUUUCAUCACCCAAGUUUCAAUUGGACAGAAACUUGGAAUCAUACAAGUUGUAUUGUAUGAUGAAUGAGAAUUUUCAUCUUUGAAAAUUAAGACUAAUUCUUUGAUCACAUGUAUAUGUGAGUCAAUUGAAGGACUAAGGAAUUAGGUACACUGGGUGUGCGCUGGUCAAGGUCCACCACAAAGAUUGAUUUGUCAUGAUUUACUAAAGAUUAGUAAAUAUGAUUAUACUUAUGAGGUUAAGUAUAAUUCUGUAACAUUGGAAAGGUUACAAUGUAUGACAAAACAAAUGAGAAGAAUCAAAUUAGGCAGAAAGAUAAAAGUUUCUCAAAUCUGAAAGGAUGGGAGAGUACUUUAGUAUCGUAUUUCAUGAUCAUCUUAAUGAUUAUGAAACCAUAUCACAAAUUCAUACUCUAAGGACGUCUUAGUGCAUUGUUAUGGCUAAGAAGAGAGGUCAUGAAUUGUUGGAUUGGUUAAAAUCAAGAAGAUGAGUCAUACUUCGUUCCAAAACAAUUCUUAGAGUCAUACUCCAAGAUUGUAACUUUGAGUGACAUAAAGGAAGAUUUAUUAACACUAGUCAAAUGUAAGAGUAAAAUGUUUUCUACUCUUGUACAUUUGAGAUUGGUAAGUUGUGAUGUCUUGGAUGAGACAAAGACCAACUAAGACCAAUUGUGUGAAGUGUUAGUCUUGAUAAGAAUCCGCACUAUCCCUUGAAUAUUUGUUUUGUCAAGGAAUGGUUCUUGACUGGGGAAACUUAUAUGUCAAGGGGACAGUGGGAGCCUUAAAGAUCCUGAAAGAGUUUCAAGAUUUAAUCAAGAGUAAAACCUGUAAUUUAUCACUAGCACACGACUUAAGGUUUGCAACCUAUCGUGUUGACAUAAUUCUUAUUUCUGUACCUACUUCAAAUAAGUUGAAUUUGCAUGUGAGUUAUCAGAGUUCAACUUGGAAGCAUUGGUGGGCCUUGUGCUACCAAGGUGACAAGAAACUAAGAUUGAACAAGUUUAAUCCAUGUAAGGCUGAAUUUGUCACUAACCUUAUCUUGUGAUUAUGGUUUUGACAAAUUCACAUGGAUAGGAACUCAUACACUAUAAAAUCUAAGUGUCAUAAGGUUUCUCUCCGAUUCAUGAAAAUGAUGGUGAGGAAACGCUUUCACUAAGUAGAUUUUACGUAGAUAUCAAUUGUGUUAUUUGCAUUUUCAAAAGUCGUUAGUGGAGCGCGUGUGGUUAACCGGCACACUAACAUGGACUUGUGAGAAAUGGCAAAUGCCUAAGCAAUUGAGACUAUGAUUACGGCAUCCCUUUUCAUAGUUCUGAAAAUUGUUUAGACACACAUGUGAGCUAUCUAAGAAAGGGUGUAUGAAUCUAAAUUUCAGAAGUCCAGCAGAUUUCUGGAAAUAUGUCAGAGCUAGUGGGAGCAUAAGUGUUAUGCUGAUAAUCAUCAUGUUAGUGGGAGCAUGAUUAUUACGUUUAGUGUUGCAAGUUAGCAAUGUUAAUUAUAGAAAACAAAGUUUCAAUUCGUGAAGUUGCAGGGGUUGAAAAGUUGUUUUGCUAUAAUUAAGGGAGAGGAAAUUAUACUUCAUUUCAAUUCUAAAGCUUAGAUUGAGAUUUUAAUCAUCUUUAGUCAAGAAUAUAUAUAUGAAUUUUAUGUUGGAAUGGUUCAACUUGAAGAAAUUCUAUAUAUAUUGCGUUUUCAAAAUUCGAUUAUGAUUACGGCAUCCCUCUUCAUAGUUAAAUUUUGAAAACAUGGCAAAUAAAAAAUAUUGUAGCAAAAGACUGGUCUAGUAUCAUGUCUUUAUGUCAAACAUCAUGAAUCGUGUCCCAUAUGCUUCGGAUAUAGGAUCGAUUGCAUGUGCUAUAAUAUUCAUCUUUUCUAAAUUUUCCAAAUGCUUAAGGCAUUGAGAAGGGAAAAGUCUAGAACUGGAUAUGACUAAAGUGAUUAAGCAAUUGUCGAGGACAAUCUGAGGUUCGCCAAAGAUUGGUUGCUCAGGGAAAGUUGGAAGUAUGAUGUAAGUUGUCGGAAAGGACCAUAUUGACAUAUUCUGAAAAGAAGUAACUCUUGUUCGGAAGUGAUAGUCAAAAUGGGACUAUGGAAAUGUCUCCAUAGGUGGAAGUUAUUCAAUCUAUGUAAGAUUAGAAAACCUUAAUGCAAGAAGGAUGUUCAAAGCAAUGUACUUUGAAUAUGAGACUUCCGUUCCAUAGAAGUUGACCUUCUUUGGAAUACUCUGUAAUGACUGGUGACAAGGUUUUGGUGACUUUGUGCAUAAUCAUUACAAGAGGAACAUUGCAUAAAAGUUUAAAAUCUAACAGAUUUUUUGGUAAAUGAUAGGAAUCGGGGAUUCUCACAUUUACAAUAAGGAUUUGGGAUUGUGAAAUGAGUAUCAUUGGAAUCAUGUUCAAUUGAUCUACAUCACAAUGUAAGGAUCAUAGACAAACAUAGUGUGCAUACUUGGAGUAUGGCAUAACUAUUGUUUAGAAAAACAAAGUGUACAUGCUAGGAGCAUGGGACGACUGUUGUUUUUAUUCAAGUCUUAAGUUGAUUGUUUGAAACAUUAUACAAUGAAUAAUGUGUAAUCAAUAUGGUGAUAAAUAAAAGGUGGUUCUAUUUAUAUUCAAAAGGGUUCUGAGACCAUAUUGGAUUCGAUUAUUAUUGUGUUUCACUUUGCAUGUUUUGACUUCCAAAAUAGCUAGGUUAUUCUUUCCGAAUGACUAAGUUAUUUAAACACUCCACAGUCGUUCAUAUGUUGGAAGUAGGUAUGAAUCAAGACUGUCAUGAAUCGAGUUUGUAGAUGGCUAAAUGGGUUUAGUCAUAGCAAUGGUUGCUACAACAUUCAUGAGUGCUCAUAAGUUAUGAGUAUUGGAAUAAACCCACGCUCACUUGUAUCACUUCAUGGAAUUUAUCUCGAGUGAUCGUGAGACGGUAAUAUCAUAUAAAUCUUCAAACCUAGAGAUAUGAGUUGUUACCUAUGAGUUGGUUGUGCAUUGAUUGCACGUAAACGCAUCAGUAACUUGAUGUUAUAAAACGUGCCUUUGUGUACAAUUCAACAAGUAGUAGAACAAGCAUAUGAGUCGAAGUUUAUCUGUUCCUUCUAGAAAUAGAAGCGAUAUCUGGGCCCCUCGAUGAUUUUGUUGUGACCUAUGUACCGGCCGGUCAGAACUAAAUUGAUGUGUUCGAUUAAGUUCUUUGUCAAACAAAUCGAAAAUCGGGAAACAAACUGCUGGACAAUAAGUACGACGUUGUUCCAUGUAUUUGUCCGGCUGAUAUCAUGAGAACAGAGGAUUAUAUGAUCACUUAUCUAAAAUGGCGCUUCAUAGUUCAACAGAGUUUUCGAGAGCUACGAUUGCUGGUUGGUUCCUGAAGUAACAUACGCAAAUAUAGUUAUUAGACUUAUCCAAGUGGGAGUCUGUUGGAUAAGGUGUCUAAGUCCAUAACUUAUUUGGUAUAUACUUGACCCGACCCGGCAUGGUCCAUUUGGGUUGCAUCUCACCCGAACUAUUUAUGGAUAAUUUUAUGAGAGUUAUACACAUAUGUUUAUUAAUAUAUUAUAAGUUAUAAUAUAUUAAUAUGAAGUUAUGUUAUUUAAUUAGUCUUAGUCUUAAAUUAAUUAUGAAUUAAUUUAGAGAUUAAAAGGAAGACUAAUUAGAUUAUGGGCUAUUGGUUUUAUAUGGUGUGGGCUAACACUCAUUUGUUAAUGGGCUAGGCUUAUAUGGAAGUCCAUGGAUGAUCCAUGGAGCUUUUAACCCAUGGAUCCUUGGAAAAGGAAAGGUCAUGGGUUAUUAGGGUUUCACCCUAACCAUGCACACUAUAUAAGCAUGCUUAUGGAGCAUGAAAUGGCAACUAGUGAACUAGUGUGUGUGUGCUUGUGUGUGGCCAAAAAUACAAGUGUGUAUACUCUCUCAAAGUUUUCCAAGAGUUUGUGGUGUUUUGUGAUUCCAUUUGAGGCAUUCACACUAUUGGUGCUUGGCCCUCAAACUCCUUAAGAACCAAACUCAUCAAAAAGGUAUGUAAUCUCUUCUAACUCUUUUAUGUUGAAAUGUUCCCCAUGCCAUGUUAGAUAGGUUAUGAACCUUGGAAAAUUAUUAUUUUGCAUGUAUUUAGACAAACAUAGAUCCAAGGUUUAUUAGGGUUGCAUGCACACUUAGGAAGUGUUAGAUUGCUCAAAACCCAACAGUGGUAUCAGAGCCUAGGCUUGCUUGUUUGAUACUUGAUGCAAAAUAGUGAAAAAAGUUGAAAUUGUUGCUGUCUGGCUGAUGGACUCGCCGAGUCCAUGGGGGGACUCGCCGAGUUCAAGGCAAAAUUCAUCCUACUCGGCGAGUAGGUUCGUGCACUCGGCGAGUAGAAUGAUCAGAAUGCAGAAUUUCGACUUUUGCUGCUGGAAAUGGACUAGAAACAUUACCCUAAACUGUUUUGGUGUUUUAAAACUUGUUUUAGUUGGUGUAAUGGUUGUUCUAAUCCAUUUACAAUAGCAUAUAUCAAAAUUCCAUGAUUUUUAUGUGUUCAUAUAAUUCUUGAAAUUUUGAUGAUCAUGUUCAUGUUCUUAUGAAUUUAGAAGAUGAUAGGAAUUAUUUGCUGAAUUGUUUAGAAUUAAUUCUUGAUCAUUUAUGUGUUUUAAUGGAGUCCAUAAUUUGUCCUCAAGUUAUGGAUAUCCAAAGGUCACUUUUCUUUAACACACACAUUUAAACACAUAAGUUACAUGAAAAUGAAGAGUCUUCAUUUUUAUGAACCUUUAAUUCAUAAGUUAUGAAAUGAAAAGUUUUGGAUAGUUACAAAACUUGCCCUCAAGUUUUGGAAUUUGAAAAGUUUCACACACUUUAAUAAACUUUAAUUCCAACACUUAGAGUUUUAAAAGUUAAAAUUCAACACUUAUACUAUUUAUAACAUUAAUGGUUAAUUAUUAUAUAUAUGUAUAAGAACAAGUCGUUUUACCGUUAGUAGGCCUCAUUCACGAAGCCGGUCUAUAAGGUGGGUAUAAGGUUGUUGCCUAUAAAAUGGCGACUUAAUGGGUGUCCACUCUCACCCACCGCUUGCUUGAUCGGUGGAGGGUCGUUAGCCGAACGGGUAGGACAAUGACUUUAAAUUCUCAUUAAAAGUAUAAUGAUUAUUAUAAAGUAACUAAAAAUUUUUUAUUUAAUUCCCAAUCUUAGUUACUUUAGGAAAAAUGUGAAUUUGGUGCUAGCCCAUGGAAUUCACACUUUGUACCUUACCAAGUCGUUGGUGGAGCGUGUGUGGUUAACCGGCACACUAACUUGGACUAGUAAGGAUCACGAAGGGUGACUUAAUGUUUGUCAUAGAUCAAUGGAGCGUGUGUGGUUAACCGGCACAUUGAUUAGGUGAUAAUAUUAAGGGUACCAAGUGAAUUGGUAUGGUUAUUCACACCUUGUUUUGUGAUCCUCGGCAUCCCAGUCACAAAAUUUGAGAGGGCACACUCGAGAUUGAAACAUGCCAUUGAAAAGUUCAAUGAAUCUCAAAAGAUCUAGGAAUUUCAAAUCCAAUUAAAACCUAAUAAAUUAUUUCGUUUUUCAUGGUGGAAAUUGGUGAAUCGUCAUUCGCCUACCUUCAAAUAUUUUAUAGCUUGGAUUACGGCAUCCCUCUUCCAAAUUAUAAAAUAUUGUGUUGGGUCCUAGCCUUAAUAUUUCAUAUUGGGUGUUAUAUUAAGGACUUUGAAUCAACUAACUUGAUUUUCUCCCAUUAUAGAUGUCUGGUUCAGACAACUAUGAUCUUCCCAAAUCUCUUGAAGAUGGUGUCCCUCAACAUCAUGCUUCACUUCCUCCACCUCCUCCAAUUAUUCUCCCUCACCCACAAGUUCUUGAAAAGUUUAAAGUCACUCAAUCCCUAUUGGCAAGCAUAGUCUAUGUGUGCUCACAUCUUGGAGAUAAAGUCACAUAUUGACAAGCCGGGAGAGUUGGGUGUCAAAGUCUCGUGAAAGUUGGAUGUUCAAUCACUUUCUUAGUAACAUAGUGAGUCUCUUUGGGACUACUAUGAGACAGACUAUGACAUGACCCUUAAUGAUGUUAUCUAUUUGCUUGGUGUUGUGGAAUCAGCAAUGAUUUGGAACACCAGUAAAGCAAAUUUGAUUAAAAGAACAACUUCCCAAGUCUUAAAUGGACAUUGACAAUGGUAGCAUUGGAUAUCUAGAAAAGGAUUUCUCUUCCCAAUGGAAAGGGAUCGGCCAUAGUCAACUCGGUUGACCAAAUGGUAAAGAGAAAGGCUAAGUCUGAGAUAGUCUCAUGUGCCAUUACCAAAGGGUCCAUGUGUUUUGUUGCCAAAGGAAGGGGCAUUGGUUGCGAAGCUGCCCUAUUCACCUGAAAGGUCAUAAGGUUGAUCAAGUCAAGAGGUUUGACUCUACUUCGGGUAAAGUCCACUGUCUAACUCUAUUAAGUUCCUAUUUGGAGAUUCUUAUUACAUAAUGUGAAUGGGUCACAUGCUGAUGUUUUUAAGAAUCAAAGAAAAGAUAGGAAGCUUAAAGUAAGUAUAUGUUGAUUCUGAUUGCGAAGGUGGGUUUCGAUCGCAUGGUUCGGUAAUCAGAAUUUUG
rnacentral:lncRNA from 1 species